GGGCCCGCACAAGCGGUGGAGUAUGUGGUUUAAUUCGAUGCAACGCGAAGAACCUUACCAGCCUUUGACAUCCUAGGACGGUUUCUGGAGACAGAUUCCUUCCCUUCGGGGACCUAGUGACAGGUGCUGCAUGGCUGUCGUCAGCUCGUGUCGUGAGAUGUUGGGUUAAGUCCCGCAACGAGCGCAACCCACGUCUUUAGUUGCCAGCAUUUAGUUGGGCACUCUAGAGAGACCGCCGGUGACAAACCGGAGGAAGGUGUGGAUGACGUCAAGUCAUCAUGCCCCUUACGUCCUGGGCUACACACGUACUACAAUGCUACGGACAAAGAGCAGCUAACUCGCGAGGGUACGCAAAUCUCAUAAACCGUGGCUCAGUUCAGAUCGUAGGCUGCAACUCGCCUACGUGAAGGAGGAAUCGCUAGUAAUCGCAGGUC
rnacentral:rRNA from 1 species